rnacentral:rRNA from 1 species
UAACCUGCUAAAUAGAAAUGCGAACCUGCGUUCGUACGUUCUUCUUAGAGGGACUGACUACGUUUAGUGGUCGGAAGUUUGAGGCAAUAACAGGUCUGUGAUGCCCUUAGAUGUUCUGGGCUGCACGCGCGCUACACUGACAGAGGCAGCGAGUAUACAACCUUGACCGGAAGGUCUGGGUAAUCUUUUGAAACUCUGUCGUGCUGGGGAUAGAGCAUUGCAAUUAUUGCUCUUCAACGAGGAAUUCCUAGUAAGCGCAUGUCAUCAGCAUGCGUUGAUUACGUCCCUGCCCUUUGUACACACCGCCCGUCGCU